rfam:Mesocricetus auratus contig197533, whole genome shotgun sequence.
GUAUUGAUGAUGAAAACAAAUCUCGGAGGAUGAUGAUAGACUCAUACAAAGGGCAAUCUGAGGUC